rnacentral:rRNA from 1 species
CCUACGGGCGGCUGCAGUGGGGAAUAUUGGACAAUGGGGGGAACCCUGAUCCAGCCAUGCCGCGUGUGUGAAGAAGGCCCUCGGGUUGUAAAGCACUUUCAGUGAGGAAGAACGCCUGGUGGUUAAUACCCAUCAGGAAAGACAUCACUCACAGAAGAAGCACCGGCUAACUCCGUGCCAGCAGCCGCGGUAAUACGGAGGGUGCGAGCGUUAAUCGGAAUUACUGGGCGUAAAGCGCGCGUAGGUGGCUUGAUAAGCCGGUUGUGAAAGCCCCGGGCUCAACCUGGGAACGGCAUCCGGAACUGUCAAGCUGGAGUGCAGGAGAGGAAGGUAGAAUUCCCGGUGUAGCGGUGAAAUGCGUAGAGAUCGGGAGGAAUACCAGUGGCGAAGGCGGCCUUCUGGACUGACACUGACACUGAGGUGCGAAAGCGUGGGUAGCAAACAGGAUUAGAUACCCCUGUAGUC